rnacentral:rRNA from 1 species
CCCUUAGAUGUUCUGGGCCGCACGCGCGCUACACUGAUGCAUUCAACGAGCCUAUCCUUGACCGACAGGUCCGGGUAAUCUUUGAAUCUGCAUCGUGACGGGGAUAGAUUAUUGCAAUUAUUAAUCUUCAACGAGGAAUGCCUAGUAGGCGCAAGUCAUCAGCUUGCGUCGAUUACGUCCCUGCCCUUUGUACACACCGCCCGUCGCUACUACCGAUUGGAUGGCUUAGUGAGACCCUCGGACCGAUAGGCUGUCGCCGCGGCAACGUGGCGACCGGCCCGUCGGGAAGAAGGUCAAACUUGACUGUCUAGAGGAAGUAAAAGUCGUAACA